AAAAGAGAGCGCUGACGUUGGAAUACUGUGCAGUUAAUAAAUAAUAUAAGAGAGUGUUGCUGUUCUUAAGAGUUUUAGUAAUGUGUGCGUGCAACUACCAAACCACACACAAAUACUUUCUUUAAUAAAACAUCCUAAAGAGAA